AGAGUUUGAUCCUGGCUCAGAAUCAACGCUGGCGGCGCUAACACAUGCAAGUCGCACGAGAAAGGGAGCAAUCCUGAGUAAAGUGGCGCACGGGUGAGUAACACGUGGAUCAUCUACCUUUUAGUGGGGAAUACCUCUGGGAAACCGGAGACAAUACCGCAUAAGCCCGCAAGGGGAAAGCAGCAAUGCGCUGAAAGAGGAGUCCGCGGCCGAUUAGCUAGUUGGCGGGGUAAUGGCCCACCAAGGCGAAGAUCGGUAGCCGGCCUGAGAGGGCACACGGCCACACUGGCACUGAAACACGGGCCAGACUCCUACGGGAGGCAGCAGUGGGGAAUCUUGCACAAUGGACGAAAGUCUGAUGCAGCGACGCCGCGUGAGCGAUGAAGCCCUUCGGGGUGUAAAGCUCUUUCGACGGGAACGAUAAUGACGGUACCCGGAGAAGAAGCUGCGGCUAACUACGUGCCAGCAGCCGCGGUAAUACGUAGGCAGCGAGCGUUGUUCGGAAUUACUGGGCGUAAAGAGUGUGUAGGCGGUGUUCCCAGUCUGUUGUGAAAUCUCCCGGCUUAACUGGGAGGGUGCAGCGGAAACUAGAAUGCUAGAGGGUGGGAGAGGUAAGCGGAAUUCCUGGUGUAGCGGUGAAAUGCGUAGAUAUCAGGAGGAACACCUGGUGUAGACAGCUUACUGGACCACUUCUGACGCUGAGACACGAAAGCGUGGGUAGCAAACAGGAUUAGAUACCCUAGUAGUCC
rnacentral:rRNA from 1 species